rnacentral:lncRNA from 1 species
UUUUUUGUUCGAUAACGUAAAUUAUACGACUUUUUUUAUGACUACGUGAACUUGUGCCAUUUAUUUUUGCUGGUCUUUAGGAAGACAAUUUACAAUUGUGCAGUGAACGGAGGCACUUAUACAUAACCUUAUAAUUCUGUUUGGAAACAAAAAUAAAUUCCCAAUAUAUAAAUAUACAUGUAUGAAUAUACAUGUAUUAUAUGUCGUGUACAUGAUUGGAUUUUGUAGAUAUAACUACCGCACACAGAAAAAGUAUCAUGGAUUUCGAGGCUUUCAUAUUCAAGGUUUUGAAUUCUACCCUUGUUGAAAACCUGUGGAGACCUCUACAGUUCCUUAAAACAUCAAUUAUUUUUUUGUAAAUUGAGUGCCGUCUCCCUGAACAUGCUAACACUUAAGUCAUAUCUUUUCAUUUUCAUAUUUUUUCCCUGUUUGUCUCUGUUG